rnacentral:rRNA from 1 species
AAGAGAGAGACAUGCGCGCAUAUCAAUAAGCGGAGGAAAAGAAACUAACAAGGAUUCCCUUAGUAACGGCGAGUGAAGCGGGAAGAGCUCAAAUUUGAAAUCUUCAAGGUUCUACCUUGACGAAUUGUAGUUUAUAGAAGUGUUUUCUGUUAGUGGAGUGGCGAAAGUUCUUUGGAAUAGGACAUCAUAGAGGGUGAGAAUCCCGUAUUUGGUCAUUCCUCCUAGCGUUGUGAUACACUUUCAACGAGUCGGAUUGUUUGGGAAUGCAGUCCAAAAUGGGUGGUAAAUUUCAUCUAAAGCUAAAUAUUGGCGAGAGACCGAUAGCGAACAAGUACCGUGAGGGAAAGAUGAAAAGAACUUUGAAAAGAGAGUUAAACAGUACGUGAAAUUGUCAAAGAGGAAGCGUUUGACACCAGUGUUGUUUUUCCGAAAAUCAAUUACGAAUGUUUUAUUUUUGAGGAGUUAUGACUUCAUCGGCUUGCUCCUUUCUUUACGAAACUUUCUUAAUGCACUUUUCGGUUAACAAGUCAACAUCAAUUUCUUUUGUUGUAAAAGGGUAUGAGGAAGGUGGCUUUCCUUUCGGAGAAAGUGUUUAUAGCCUUGUGCCUCUGCAAUCGGAGAGAUUGAGGUCUGCAGCGUAGAUCCUUCGGGGUUAGAUACGUUUGUGCUAAGUUAUAGCUUUUCAUAGACAACUUGUUGACUAUGUUUAGUCUUGUAGCUUACUCGCUGACGCUAUUUUACCUACGCUUAGGAUGUUGAUAGUCACAGCGUGUAC